UUCCUCCGGUUCAGGAGGUUAUGGUUCCAGCUAUGUCUGACGACGAGCAGCGUCGUCUUGAGAGGUUCAGUAGGCUGUUACCUCCUACUUUCAGUGGUGCUUAGGGCAUGGGGUUCCAGUUUCUAUUGUCUCGUAUAGAGUUACUCAGUUUUUUCCCAGUUUUGGAAGACUUUUCAUCGGGAGUUGGGCAAGGCUGUUACCUCCUACCUUCAGUGGUGCUUAGGGCAAGGAUGCCCAGGGUUUUCUGGACAAGUGUAGACGAAUGCUUCGGACCGCAGGGAUCGUAGAGUCCAGUGGUGUUUCUUUUACUACAUUUCAUUUCUCGGGUGCAGCUUUCAAUUAGUGGGAGGAGUAUGAGUGGCGUAGGCCGGUGGGUGCAGCGCCCUUAUCGUGGCAGGAGUUCUCCACUCUCUUUCUUGAGAAGUGGGUACUACAGUCCUAGAGGGAGGAGCUGCGGAGACAGUUUGAGUAUAUUAGUCAGGGUGAUAUGACAAUGAUGCAGUAUGAGAUGAGGUUCUCAGGGUUGGCUUGUUAUGCUCCAUGGAUUGUCCCGACUGAUCGGGACAAGAUUAGGAGAUUUAUGGAUGGACUUGUUUAUCCCAUCCGUAUUCUGAUGUCGCGAGAGAGGGUUCUGAGUCAUACAUUUGAGGAUGUUGUUGACAUUGCUAGAGACAUUGAGUCAUAUCGCCAUUAGGAGAGAGAGGAUAGGGAGGCCAAGAGGGCUUGUGGAUCAGGUAGUUUCAGCAGUGCUCCAUCUAGGGGACAGGUUUAGCAGAGCAGAGGCCGCCCUUUUAGGCAUCAUCAGUCGGCCCGUCCCGAGAAUCGCUGGACGCCUGGAGGCCGUGGUCAUCAGGGUUUGCAGUCAGGUCAGUCUUCACUGAGUGCACUCCCAGCACAGGGCUCAUCAUAUGCUCCUUAAGCUCAGUGUUCUUCGGCGCAGGGUGGAUCGGUUGGUCAUUCUGGUGCGAGGGGUUCCGUUCAGUCCCCUUCUCUAGCUCCAGGAAAUUUCUUUGAGUGCGUGAGUUUGGUCAUAUUAAGAGGUAUUGUCCUAGCCUUCGUGGUGGUAGGUUUCAGCAGAGGGAUCAGCCCUCCUCUUCUCCAUCUGAUUCAGCACCACCCCAGUUUAGUAGGGGUGGGGUUCAGUCAUCAAAAGGCCUCCCCAGGAGGGAUGAGAGGUCGAGCGGUGGUCAGGCUCGUUUCUAUGCACUCCCAGAUUGGAGAGAUGUCGUUGCUUCACAUGCAGUGAUCACAUGUAUUAUCUCAGUUUGCCACAUAGAUGCUUCUGUUUUGUUUGAUCUCGGGUCUACAUAUUCUUAUGUGUCUUCUUACUUUGCCCAUCAUUUGGGGACUAUCGGAGGGUGUCUCGCAUUGCCUGUGCAUGUAUCUACCCCGGUGGGUGAUACUAUUAUUGUGGACCACGUGUAUCGGUCCUGUGUUGUUACUUUAAAG
rnacentral:lncRNA from 1 species